rnacentral:rRNA from 1 species
UUGGUUAAGUUAGAAAGGGCGCACGGUGGAUGCCUUGGCACUAGGAGCCGAAGAAGGACGGGACUAACACCGAUAUGCUUUGGGGAGCUGUACGUAAGCGUUGAUCCAGAGAUUUCCGAAUGGGGGAACCCACUAUCUUUAGUCGGAUAGUAUCCUUACGUGAAUACAUAGCGUGAGGAAGGCAGACCCAGGGAACUGAAACAUCUAAGUACCUGGAGGAAGAGAAAGAAAAAUCGAUUUCCUGAGUAGCGGCGAGCGAAACGGAAAGAGCCCAAACCAAGAAGCUUGCUUCUUGGGGUUGUAGGACACUCUAUACGGAGUUACAAAAGAAAGUUAUAAAUGAAGCGGUCUGGAAAGGCCCGCCAAAGACGGUAACAGCCCGGUAGUUGAAAUGGCUUUCCCUCCAGAGUGGAUCCUGAGUACGGCGGAACACGUGAAAUUCCGUCGGAAUCCGGGAGGACCAUCUCCCAAGGCUAAAUACUCCCUAGUGACCGAUAGUGAACCAGUACCGUGAGGGAAAGGUGAAAAGCACCCCGGAAGGGGAGUGAAACAGUUCCUGAAACCGUGUGCCUACAAGUAGUUAGAGCCCGUUAAUGGGUGAUAGCGUGCCUUUUGUAGAAUGAACCGGCGAGUUACGAUUUGUUGCAAGGUUAAGCGGAAAAAGCGGAGCCGUAGCGAAAGCGAGUCUGAAUAGGGCGCAUAAGUAACAGGUCGUAGACCCGAAACCAGGUGAUCUACCCAUGUCCAGGAUGAAGGUAAGGUAAUACUUACUGGAGGUCCGAACCCACGCACGUUGAAAAGUGCGGGGAUGAGGUGUGGGUAGCGGAGAAAUUCCAAUCGAACUUGGAGAUAGCUGGUUCUCUCCGAAAUAGCUUUAGGGCUAGCCUCGAGGUAAAGAGUCAUGGAGGUAGAGCACUGUUUGGACUAGGGGCCCUUCUCGGGUUACCGAAUUCAGAUAAACUCCGAAUGCCAUGUACUUAUACUCGGGAGUCAGACUGCGAGUGAUAAGAUCCGUAGUCGAAAGGGAAACAGCCCAGACCACCAGUUAAGGUCCCCAAAUAUAUGUUAAGUGGAAAAGGAUGUGGGGUUGCUUAGACAACCAGGAUGUUGGCUUAGAAGCAGCCACCAUUGAAAGAGUGCGUAAUAGCUCACUGGUCGAGUGACCCCGCGCCGAAAAUGUACCGGGGCUAAACAUAUUACCGAAACUGUGGAUGAACCUCUUUAGAGGUUCGUGGUAGGAGAGCGUUCUAAGGGCGGUGAAGUCAGACCGGAAGGACUGGUGGAGCGCUUAGAAGUGAGAAUGCCGGUAUGAGUAGCGAAAGAAGGGUGAGAAUCCCUUCCACCGAAUAUCUAAGGUUUCCUGAGGAAGGCUCGUCCGCUCAGGGUUAGUCGGGACCUAAGCCGAGGCCGAUAGGCGUAGGCGAUGGACAACAGGUAGAGAUUCCUGUACCAGUGCUAAUUGUUUAACCGAUGGGGUGACACAGAAGGAUAGGGAAUCGCACGAAUGGAAAUGUGCGUCCAAGCAGUGAGUGUGAGAAGUAGGCAAAUCCGCUUCUCGCGAAGCAUGAGCUGUGAUGGGGAAGGAAAUUAAGUACGGAAGUUCCUGAUUUCACGCUGUCAAGAAAAGCCUCUAGGAAGAGUAGUACUGCCCGUACCGCAAACCGACACAGGUAGAUGAGGAGAGAAUCCUAAGGUGAGCGAGAGAACUCUCGUUAAGGAACUCGGCAAAAUGACCCCGUAACUUCGGGAGAAGGGGUGCUCUAUUAGGGUGCAAGCCCGAGAGAGCCGCAGUGAAUAGGCCCAGGCGACUGUUUAGCAAAAACACAGGUCUCUGCAAAACCGUAAGGUGACGUAUAGGGGCUGACGCCUGCCCGGUGCUGGAAGGUUAAGAGGAGUGCUUAGCUU